rnacentral:rRNA from 1 species
CCUACGGGUGGCUGCAGUGGGGAAUAUUGGACAAUGGGCGAAAGCCUGAUCCAGCCAUGCCGCGUGUGUGAAGAAGGCCUUCGGGUUGUAAAGCACUUUCAGUGGGGAAGAAAGCCUUGGGGCUAAUACCCUCGAGGAAGGACAUCACCCACAGAAGAAGCACCGGCUAACUCCGUGCCAGCAGCCGCGGUAAUACGGAGGGUGCGAGCGUUAAUCGGAAUUACUGGGCGUAAAGCGCGCGUAGGCGGUCUGAUAAGCCGGUUGUGAAAGCCCCGGGCUCAACCUGGGAACGGCAUCCGGAACUGUCAGGCUAGAGUGCAGGAGAGGAAGGUAGAAUUCCCGGUGUAGCGGUGAAAUGCGUAGAGAUCGGGAGGAAUACCAGUGGCGAAGGCGGCCUUCUGGACUGACACUGACGCUGAGGUGCGAAAGCGUGGGGAGCAAACAGGAUUAGAUACCCGGAUAGUC